rnacentral:rRNA from 1 species
ACAUACGACCAUAGGAAGUGGAAAAUAGGGCUUCCCGUCCGCUCAGCCGUACUCAAGCCACUUGCCGGUCAGUUAGUAGUAUGGUGGGUGACCACAUGCGAAUCCUGACUGUUGUAUGUUUUA